UUUUAGAUGCCUAAAUUUUUUUCUUGAGAUUUAUUUAUUUUUAUAGAUGGGGUUUUCACUAUGUUGCCCAGGCUGGUCUUGAACUCCCAACCUCAGGAAAUCCUCCUGUCUCAGCCCCACAAAGUGCCAGGAAUAUAGGCAUGGGCCAGUGUGCCCCGUCUCUUGAGACUGAAAUGAAAAAUUGCUUGUGGUUUAAAUCCCCAGAAUUUAAUGAAACAUGGGAAGAUGGCUAAAGAUACGUAUAAACUUUGGUUUGCAUUUUAUUAAAUUAUUUGAAUGCAAAACUUGUAUAAAGAAUCCAUUAUGUUCUGUAGCUUUCUAAUUAAAAUGUUCAACAUGGAA
rnacentral:lncRNA from 10 species